rnacentral:rRNA from 1 species
GCAUGGGUAGCGAACAGGAUUAGAUACCCUGGUAGUCCAUGCCGUAAACGAUGAGUGCUAAGUGUUGGGAGGUUUCCGCCUCUCAGUGCUGCAGCUAACGCAUUAAGCACUCCGCCUGGGGAGUACGACCGCAAGGUUGAAACUCAAAGGAAUUGACGGGGGCCCGCACAAGCGGUGGAGCAUGUGGUUUAAUUCGAAGCAACGCGAAGAACCUUACCAGGUCUUGACAUCCAGUGCAAACCUAAGAGAUUAGGUGUUCCCUUCGGGGACGCUGAGACAGGUGGUGCAUGGCUGUCGUCAGCUCGUGUCGUGAGAUGUUGGGUUAAGUCCCGCAACGAGCGCAACCCUUGUCAUUAGUUGCCAUCAUUAAGUUGGGCACUCUAAUGAGACUGCCGGUGACAAACCGGAGGAAGGUGGGGAUGACGUCAAGUCAUCAUGCCCCUUAUGACCUGGGCUACACACGUGCUACAAUGGACGGUACAACGAGAAGCGAACCUGCGAAGGUAAGCGGAUCUCUGAAAGCUGUUCUCAGUUCGGACUGUAGGCUGCAACUCGCCUACACGAAGCUGGAAUCGCUAGUAAUCGCGGAUCAGCACGCCGCGGUGAAUACGUUCCCGGGCCUUGUACACACCGCCCGUCACACCAUGAGAGUCUGUAACACCCAAAGCCGGUGGGAUAACCUUUAUAGGAGUCAGCCGUCUAAGGUAGGACAGAUGAUUAGGGUGAAGUCGUAACAAGGUAAC